CUCCAGUUGGAUGCAUGUCCUUCUGGGAAAGAUUCUAUCGGUAUGGGAUGGGGUCGCGUCCUAUCAGCUUGAUGGCGGGGUAACGGCCCACCAUGGCUUCGACGGGUAGCCGGCCUGAGAGGGCGACCGGCCACAUUGGGACUGAGAUACGGCCCAGACUCCUACGGGAGGCAGCAGUGGGGAAUAUUGCACAAUGGGCGCAAGCCUGAUGCAGCGACGCCGCGUGCGGGAUGACGGCCUUCGGGUUGUAAACCGCUUUUGACUGGGAGCAAGCCCUUCGGGGUGAGUGUACCUUUCGAAUAAGCACCGGCUAACUACGUGCCAGCAGCCGCGGUAAUACGUAGGGUGCAAGCGUUAUCCGGAAUUAUUGGGCGUAAAGGGCUCGUAGGCGGUUCGUCGCGUCCGGUGUGAAAGUCCAUCGCUUAACGGUGGAUCCGCGCCGGGUACGGGCGGGCUUGAGUGCGGUAGGGGAGACUGGAA
rnacentral:rRNA from 1 species